ACUGCAUUCAAAUAAUUGACCAAUAGCAACUUAAUUAUAAUAAUAUAGUAACUGUAACAAUGUACUUUUCUGUUUGGCAAAAAUGCAUCAAUAAAUAGCAAUUAUAAUUUGUAACGUAGGUAAUAAAGCGGAUAAUAUGACAAUAUAUGAUAACAUAUUACGGUUGACGUCGUGAUUUAAAUAAAUAAAAUAUAGACCGCUCGGUGUCGGUAUAAUUGCACGUAUCGCGGUUUAUAAAAAUAUGCAUC